CUAACUCCUUCACUCCUCUUCCUACCAUCACUCACAUUCUCACUUCAAAUGGAAUACGGCAGGCUCGGACCACCCGAACCUACCAGCGGUGGCUCCUCAACUCGUAGCCUAACCCCGGACCCCACCCGCGCCCCCAGGAAAUCCAGACUCAAGCUCCUCCUCGUCCUCGCCGCCACGCUCAUAGCAGCGUCCGCCGUCGCCGCCGCCCUCGUCGUCGUCGUCGUCCGCAACAGAGUUGACGAUUCCGGCGGCGCCUCCGCGAUGCAUGCUCGCCGCCCCUCCAAGGCCGUCUCCCAAGCCUGCGGCAAGACUCGGUACCCGAAUCUCUGCGUCAACUCGCUUCUCGACUUCCCCGGCGCCGCCUCCGCCUCCGCCAAGGAUCUCGUGCACAUUUCCGUCAACAUGACCCUCCGCAAAUUCGGCCGCGCGCUCUACUCCGCUGCCGAGAUCAGCAACCUCAACAUGUAUCCUCACGUCAGNAUUUUUAUUAAGAUAGUAUUGAAACUUGAGAUAUCACAAGGCCCACUACAAGAAAACACGCGUUUAACGAUCGAAAUUAACGACCGAAAUUUUCGAUCGUUAAUUUUGCGGCCUUAACGACCGAUUUACGACCGUUUCACGACCGAUUUUAUUUUUAUUUUUAACGACCGAAAAUUCGAUCGCUAAUUAUUUUUUUAAUAUUUUAAUACUUUAUUUUUCUUAACGACCGAAUUUUCGGUUGUAAAAUUUAUUUUUUUAUAUUUUAAUUAUUUUUUUAAUUUUAACGACCGAAAAUUCGGUCGUUAAUAUAUUUUUUUUUAUUAUUUUUUUUAAAAAAAUAAAUUUUUUUUAACUAUCAAAUUAUUCGGUCGUUAAAAUUAAUAUUUUGAUUUUUUUAAUUUUUUUAAUUUUUUCAAUAUUUUUUAAAUAAAAAAAUAUUUUUUAAAUUAUUUUUUUUAAAGACCGAAUUUUUCGGUCGUUAAAAUUAUUUUUAUUUGUUUUUAAUUUUUUUAUUUAUUUUUUAUUAUUUUAAUUUUUUAUUUAUUUAUUUUAUUUAUUAACGACCGAAUAAUCGGUCGUUAAUUUAUUUUUCAAUUUAAAAUUUAAAUUCGUUUUAUUUUAUUAUUUUAUUUUUUGAUUAUAUAUAAAUAUAUAUAUAAAUAUUUAAUUAUUUUUUAUUAAUUUUCUAUUUAAUUAUUAUUUUCAAAUUAUAGAGAAUAUUUUGAAAAUGAUUGUUAUUUUCAUAAUAUUAUUCUAUAAAAAUAGAUAAUAUUGAUUAUUAAUAAAAAUGUGAUAUUAUUUGCAAAUAAUAAUAAAUUAUUAGACUUAUUAUAAUAAAUUAUUAGACUUAUUAGAUUUUCUAAAUUAUUAGAUUCAUUAUUUUCAAAAUAUUAAUAAUUUUAUAUUUAAAUAUAAAUAUUUUCAAUAUUAAUUUUAUUAAUAUUGAUUAUUUGAUUUAAUAUUGAUUUUGUUGUAUAUUUGAUUGUUAUUUUUCAUACUCGUAUUUUCUUUCUUUUUUUAAUUACGAUAAUAUUAAUUUUUUAUUAUUUUAAAUUCAAUCGUAUAUUUAUAGUCAAUGUUUCGCCGACACCACAAAUCUUAGUUAUUAUCUCGACAUAUUAUAAGGUUAUGAAUGAUUAAUGAUAUUUUAUAUUGAAUUAGAGUUUAAAUGAAUUAAUAGGUACUAUCUAUAUCAAUAAUACGAGUGUUCUCUAUUGGUGACUACUCGAAAGGAACUUCAAGGUUAAGCGUGCUUGACUUAGAGCACAAGUAAGAUGGGUGACCUACUGGGAAGUUCGUCAAAUGGUAUGCAAUUAAGUUCAAAAUACAUUAGAAAUACACUAAAAAUACUUGUGGGAUACAAAGAUAUAUAUAUAUAUAUAUAAAUUAUUUUUUUCGAAAAAAAAUAUUUUUUUUAAUUAAUUUUUAACGACCGAAUUUCGGUCGUUAAAAAAUAAAUUUCGGUCGUUAUUUAAAAAAAUAAAAAAAUAAUAAUUUUUUUAUUAUUUUUUCUCUUUUUAACGACCGAAAUUUCGGUCGUUAAAAAUAAAAAAUCGGUCGUUAAAUUUAACGACCGAAAAAACGGUCGUUAAAACUCGGACGACGAUGCAAACAACGACUGAAAAAAACGGUCGUUAAAUCGGUCGUUAACGACCGAUUUUUGGGUUUUAACGACCGAAAUUUCGGUCGUUAGAGCCGCAUUUUCUUGUAGUGUGGGUAUGGUUAUUAAUUAAAUAGUGUAUAAUCUAUACAUAUAUAAAAAACAGUCUAGUAGUAAAUUUUGUCUAAAACAAAAACAGUAUACUAUAUAGUAAACACUAAUCACUAUCUCUAUCAAUCACUACCAAUAUAGUGCUGCUAAGUAGAAUCCAGCUAAUUCCCUCGGACAGUUGGACAUCAUCCAUUCCCCACCCCCUCUCCUCUUUCUCACUCAUCAUAUAUACACGCUGCGGCAGGGUCCAUAUAUCUUUAACCACUAACUCCUUCACUCCUCUUCCUACCAUCACUCACAUUCUCACUUCAAAUGGAAUACGGCAGGCUCGGACCACCCGAACCUACCAGCGGUGGCUCCUCAACUCGUAGCCUAACCCCGGACCCCACCCGCGCCCCCAGGAAAUCCAGACUCAAGCUCCUCCUCGUCCUCGCCGCCACGCUCAUAGCAGCGUCCGCCGUCGCCGCCGCCCUCGUCGUCGUCGUCGUCCGCAACAGAGUUGACGAUUCCGGCGGCGCCUCCGCGAUGCAUGCUCGCCGCCCCUCCAAGGCCGUCUCCCAAGCCUGCGGCAAGACUCGGUACCCGAAUCUCUGCGUCAACUCGCUUCUCGACUUCCCCGGCGCCGC
rnacentral:lncRNA from 1 species